rfam:Heterocephalus glaber contig218667, whole genome shotgun sequence.
GGGUGUGAGGGCGAUCUGGCUGCGACAUCUGUCAUUCCAGUGAUGGCCAGGGUUGAUUCGGCUGAUCUGGCUGGCUAGGCGUGUGUCCCUUUCCUCCCCUACUGCUCCAUGUUCAUCCCUCCUGAAGCUGCAUGCUGGAUCAAAGAGGACAACCACCCCCCAUAGAGGAGGACCGUUUCCUUGGUCAAGGGUAUAGGAGUAGCUGUGCUCCCCUGCUAGAACCGCCAAACAAGCUCUCGAGUUAUCUGUCGAAUGUGACUGCUUUCAGUUUCUUUCUUUUUUUCUUUUGCUUAAAUUCUUUUAUUGGUACUGUGA